rnacentral:rRNA from 1 species
UACGUAGGGGGCUAGCGUUGCUCGGAAUCACUGGGCGUAAAGCGCACGUAGGCGGCUUUUUAAGCCAGGGGUGAAAUCCUGGAGCUCAACUCCAGAACUGCCUUUGAUACUGAGAAGCUUGAGUCCGGGAGAGGUGAGUGGAACUGCGAGUGUAGAGGUGAAAUUCGUAGAUAUUCGCAAGAACACCAGUGGCGAAGGCGGCUCACUGGCCCGGUACUGACGCUGAGGUGCGAAAGCGUGGGGAGCAAACAGG